CUUGCCGUGACCGCGUAGGUGGCUCAUUUCGCGUGACGCUGGCGACCUACGCGACGCAGAGCUGCGCGAGCGGGUUGGUUAGAAAGCAAGAGGGGAGGAAGCGGAUUCAGCGCCAGGCUUUUGAUGUCUUCGGGAGAAGCAGAGUUUAGAGUUUGGAAACCUUGGGAGGGGGGGGGGAGCCUUUUUGGUGCCAUGAAAAUAAGGCAAUAUGAUUUAAAUUAUGAACUAUCAUUUUAGAUACGGACGCAGUGCAUAGUACUUUUAUAAUUGUAUUUAAACUGAGCCACUUUAUUAUAUUAUUUUCUUUAUUUUUAAUCUCUCCUUUAUUAUUACAAAUAACUGAAUAUCCAAACGCACCUUCCUCUUCCUAUUUUCCUCCUGACAACAACCCUGUGAGGUGAGCUGGGCCGAGAGUGACUGGCCCAAGGUCAUCCAGCCAUUUCAUGGCUAACGCAGCAUUCUAGAACCCUGGUCUCCUGGUUUCUAGCCUGGGGCAUAACCACUAAAACAACAGAUUUGUUAUAAUCGUGGAGACUGCUUAGUUCCCCUAUAUAGAGCCGAGGUGGCACAGUGGUUAGAGUGCAGUACUGCAAGCUACUUCAGCUGACUGCUUAGCUGCAGUUCCGCAGAUCGAAUCUCACCGGCUCAAGGUUGACUCAGCCUUCCAUCCUUCAGAGAUCUCGAUUUUCAUAUGUACUGCAGUAUUUCAAGUUAAUAAGAGUGCUGCAAGGUUAUUUUGACUUCUACUUCUGGCCAACUAAAGCAUCUUGCUUAAAAGCAUUGCCUGAUUAUUACCUUGAUGUGGCAAAAAGAUCUUUUCAGUGUGGUCUGAAGCUCUGGAAUUUGUGAUUUUCCAUGGAAAUACUAACCAGCUACAGAUAUUACUUUGCUUACAAACUUUUGAGUUGCAAACUUUCAGUAAACAUGAACAAGCCUGUCUGCAAUUUCAAUUAGAAAGUCCCAGAAGUUGAGAGAAGCUGGGAAUGGGUUAAUUUCUGACAUAUCACAUAUACGUGGUGUGCUGGAAACUAACCUUUCCCCACCUUCUUCCGACUUCCUUUCUCAUCUUCUUCUGAUUUCCUAGAAAAGGACUUCGAUGAGCUGCUAAUUGCACAUACAGAGGAUAUCUCCAAUGAAGAUCUCAUGGAGUUGAAAAGUCAGAGAAAAAUAAAGAGAUUGAACUAUCAAAGCAGUUCCACAUGAAGCUGAGAACUGCAGAGGAGUUCAACCUGUCUGAGAAAAUGCUAUCAUGUUCAAAAUGCAGGACAUUCAUGUUGAAUAGUUGAACAGCAACAUUUACCAAGAAAAGAGGAAAGCCACCACCCAAAGUUUACAGGACUACUAUUUCAAGAAGGUGGAGAAAUCUAAUUUUUCAAUUCUGGAGAAUGAGCCUAUUCCACUGCUAUAAGGUUUUAUUGUGAUGCUACCGCUUAUGUAAAUAAUAACUGUAUUGUGCAUAUUUUUAUACUUGUUGGACUUGUGAACAAAAUUAACUUAUGAACAGCCUUUUGGAAUGUAACCGGUUUAUCAAUAGAGCACUGUCUUAGCUUUUCUCCAGCUCAACCAACUAAGUGCUUCCAUCUUCUAACUAUGUUGACAUUCCACUGAGUGAUGUAAUCAAACAAAAAAUGUUAGCAGAAUCACUAUUUAAAACAAGCAAGAAACUCAAAAAUGUGAGUGUAAGCAAUAAAUCAGUUCUAUUAAUAAAUAUUGGCAAAAUGAAGUUUCAAAAAUUGUAUUUAUAUUAUUUAUAUAAAAUGGUAUAUUCUAUACAAGAUGUAUAUUAUAUUUAAUAAAAUGGCAAAUAAUUAUAAUAAGGAUGAACUAUUCUUCUGAUGUUUACUUUGGCAAAUCACAAGCUUUUCGUUUAACAACUCAGCAAAGUUAUGAAACCAUCUAGUAUAAUCUGGUUUGGGUCAUCUUCACCUUCCAUGGGUUGAGAGGAUAAUUAUAUAUACAAUAUAAUUAAUUAUUUUAGAUUUGCUAUCUUUAGAGUGACAACAACUGAAAUCAAUAAACAAUAUUAUCAUGAUCAUAAGUCAUGCAGUGUCAAACUAAUUAAGCACAGGAGAGAAAACAGCCUUUGACAGACAUGUUGAUGAUAAAUCUUGUAUGUGAAAAAAUUCAGUUUCACGCCAUGUUUCCUGUGUUAAUAGCCAAGGCUAUCUGCUACUUGACAAAUAGACGAGGUUUUUUUAUAUUUAGCACUUCAAAUAAUUUGCUUCUAUCUCACAUCCUAAAUAUCUUAGAAAUAAAUCCUUCUGGUUUUAGUAGGACUUAAGUCUAUACAAAUGAUUACAGAUUAAAUAUUGUGGUUAAAAAGGUCUUCUCAGCCAAAAGGAGCAUGUUAAUAUUAUGGCUCAGACUCUAACCAAAAUAAUUAAGCACUCUCUCUCUCAUCCCAUUUAAUUUCAACCUUCUGAAGACAGCAUUAAAUUUGGCAGGCCACUGUAUCACAUAGCUGCUGUAAAUUAUUAAGAACCAAAAAUGUGUUUAGUGAGUUUAGACCAACAAUAGCUAGUGACAUUUCAAAGCAUCAGAAUGCUGAAAUAAUUGCCUUUGCCAGUGCUUCCAAGAUGUAUUAUCAUGUAAAUUGUGAUACUGAUAUUUUACAAUUAAUAUUCCAAAAAUUGUAGUAAGGAUGAGUAUAAACUGCCUGUUUCAUCAUUUAUGCAAGUAAAGCCUAGCAUAAGGAUGAGCAACUGUUAACUGAUCUGGGAAUGCAUGUGAACAAGAAAAGUGCCAAAUAUGCCAUCAUGCUUCAUGACAACAUAGUCAGGAAUUUUAUAUCCCCUCCUUUAUUUGUUCCAUCCAGAAAUGCAUUUUAAAGGAGAUCUGUUCUGACCCUGGAUAACAAUGUAUUUCUAUUUAAUCCAAACAUAAAAUUACUAUUGAUUGAAUAUUUAUAAAAUUAAGACUGGUUGGUUAACCCAAUUUAAUGGUAUUAGCGAGCCAAGAAAUGUAAUAGCUCUUUCCCCCCCUUCACUUACAUUUCUGAAAUGAUGGGUUGUGUCAUUUUUAAAACCUCAUAAUUGCGAAGGCUUAUUUUCUCUGAAGACAAAUUUAUACCAAUCAAGAAAUGUUAACAUUUUGUAAGAUCUAUGUUAUUUAUUAUUCUCUCUGCGUUUGCCUCUUUUCAUGUUUACUGAAUAGAAUAUGACUGUACAGAUUCUGAAAUGGAAAAGCAGAUAUAUUAAAAAAAUCCUCUUAGUAUAAACUAUCUGUUGUGUUUCAUCUAAUUAGCAUCUCAAAAUAGACUGAAUAAAAAAACCCUGCUCUGAAGAUAAUGCUGUUGAUUAUUUGUCAUUCUUUUCUUUAUCAUGCUCCAAAAAGGUUCUAAGAAUAAACGUAUUC